GAGUUUGAUCAUGGCUCAGAUUGAACGCUGGCGGCAGGCCUAACACAUGCAAGUCGAGCGGUAGAGAGAAGCUUGCUUCUCUUGAGAGCGGCGGACGGGUGAGUAAUGCCUAGGAAUCUGCCUGGUAGUGGGGGAUAACGCUCGGAAACGGACGCUAAUACCGCAUACGUCCUACGGGAGAAAGCAGGGGACCUUCGGGCCUUGCGCUAUCAGAUGAGCCUAGGUCGGAUUAGCUAGUUGGUGAGGUAAUGGCUCACCAAGGCGACGAUCCGUAACUGGUCUGAGAGGAUGAUCAGUCACACUGGAACUGAGACACGGUCCAGACUCCUACGGGAGGCAGCAGUGGGGAAUAUUGGACAAUGGGCGAAAGCCUGAUCCAGCCAUGCCGCGUGUGUGAAGAAGGUCUUCGGAUUGUAAAGCACUUUAAGUUGGGAGGAAGGGCAGUAAAUUAAUACUUUGUCUGUUUUGACGUUACGACAGAAUAAGCACCGGCUAACUCU
rnacentral:rRNA from 1 species